ACCCCCACCCUCACCCUAUAACCCUUACCUUUACCCUAACCCUAUAACCUUAACCCCCACCCUCACCCCAUAACCCUUACCCUAAGCCUAACCCUAUAACCCUUACCUUUACCCUAACCCUGUAACCCUCACCCUAACCCACAGCCCCAGCAUUGCAGGUGGGCAGCAGUGUACUGUGGGGUGCCUGCAACAACUUUGUAAGCUAGAACAAACCCUUUAAAUGAUGCACUAAGGAAUAACCCCCCCCUCUCCCCCCCCCCAGAGGGGCAGCACUCAGUGGGGGUGUCCAUCCCUACUGCUGCCUUCCCGGGGUGCUGCAUGGUGGGAGCAAAGCAGGGCGUGCGCUUCACCCUCCCCCCCCCCCCCCCCUUCUCCCCCCCUCCCCUUUGCAGUUUUAUUUAUUGUUCUGAGAAGCAAUUAAAGAAAAAAAAAAAAAAGGGAAAAAAAAAAAAAAGAUAAACUGUGUAUCUAUAAAUAUAUAUAUAUAUCUCUAUAUUUUUAACCUCUUUUUUUGGUUCCCCCCCCCCCUCCCCAAUGCUCCUCCACCUCUGUGUGUGUGUGUGUGUGUGUGUGUGUGUAUGUGUGAGUCUGGGGGGGGGAGGGGGGUCUGCACUGCGGAUGGCAGAGGGGGGACAUGGGAUGAGGGGACAGAGGGAAGGGUGGUCCCACUCCCACCCCUGCCUGUGGGUUUUUUGGGGGGGGUCUGGGGCGGGUGGGGGGGGGGGGGGGGAGCAGAAAAAGACCCUCAACGUGGGGAGAGAAGGGGCUGACCCUUAUUGUGCUGGGAUCUGUGAUAACCUCCAUCUUUCUAUAAGAGUUUGCACCCUCAGGUCCGCCUGAGGACACCCCGAGCCCCGGAGACCCCCACCCCUCCUGUGUGUCCCCCCACCCGCCCCCCCACUCCCCCUACCUGCACUCCUGACAAUCAGUGGCUCCUUCCCAGGAACUGCAGCACGUGGUUGAGACGUCCCAUUUGUUUUCUCAAUAUUCCUCCUCCUUUUAUUAUUAUUAUUAAUUUUUUUUGUGCUGUAUGGCUACGUGGAGGCUCCUCGGCCGCUCCUAUAUAUCCUUACGCCGGGCUCGGCCCCCCUCUCCUCCAGCGUCGGCUCCGGCCGUGGGGCCGCAGCGAAGACCCGCGUCCGCUCCGGGGGAUGCAGAGCCACCUCCGCUCCUCCUUUGCUGCGGCGCUGGGGAUGCCGUUGACUCCACCAGUGCAGACAGUGGCUUCCCCUGCUGUGAUGCCCCACUCGUUUCCUGGGCAGCCAAGAGCAAUGCUUGAGUCCUGGUGGAAGUUCAUUCAGAAUUGCCUGGAGCGAAGGCUGGAGAGGAAAACCACAACCACAGCAGAGCCUGGACACGGGGAGCUGCUAGCAGGACCCAUCUCAGGGACAGUCACUGUGUGUACCUUCCUCCAUCCUCCUCCUGCUCCCAGCAGCUGAUGGCCUGGAGCAGCACAGAGCAAGCCUGGCAUCGGGCUAUAGGGACACCAGGAGCACCCCGGGGAUAGGACCCAACACCAUGCCACACUGGUGGAGAACACAAAGCUGGAAGAGGGGAAAAAAAAAAUCAACAGAAGAAGAAGAAAAGAAUGGAAACGAAAGUCUCCAAACUCAGGAGAUCUGUGUUAAUUGCUUACGAACGUCUCCAUCCCAAAAGUUAUCCGAUUGAUGUUGUCGUGCUUUUUUUUUGACAGCCUGUCUGUUAUGUAUUUUUUUUUAAAUAUUCAUGCACCGAAAUCUAAUUACUAGGCAAAUUUAAUGAUAAUGAAAUGAAGGCACUUUAGCAGAAAGCAUAGGGCCUUGUUAAUAUUUUCUCAGUCUCUGUCUUGCUCACAUUUUUUUUUCACCGCCGCCUUUCUUGCAGUAUAAAAGAAUUGCCAAAAAUAAAACUUGGAUUGCUGAAGAUGUU
rnacentral:lncRNA from 1 species